rnacentral:rRNA from 1 species
UACGGAGGGUGCAAGCGUUGUCCGGAUUUAUUGGGUUUAAAGGGUGCGUAGGCGGUUCUUUAAGUCUGGGGUGAAGCCAGUCGCUCAACAACGGAACUGCCCUGGAAACUGGAGAACUUGAGUACAGACGAGGGUGGCGGAAUGGAUGGUGUAGCGGUGAAAUGCAUAGAUACCAUCCAGAACCCCGAUUGCGAAGCAGCUGCCUAGACUGUAACUGACGCUGAGGCACGAAAGCGUGGGGAGCGAACAGG